rnacentral:ncRNA from 1 species
GUGUUGUAUGAAAGGAGAGAAGGUUAGCACUCCCCUUGACAAGGAUGGAAGAGGCCCUUGGGCCUGACAACACGCAUAUGGUUUUUAAAAAAUUUUUAU